GGAGGGCACGGGAGGGAGGAAGUGCCGCAGUUUUCAGGGGAGGAAGAUGGGCGAUUCGGAUAAUGACUUCCUGGUAAGUUGGACAUCAAUGCAAGUGGGCAAAAGUGUAGAAAGGAGUUUUAAAGCUGUGCCAAGGGUUUACCUAGAAUAAGUCAAGCCCCGUCCGCCUCCAUCCUUUUUUGGGAGGAUGACUCUUGGGUGAAGAGAGCCAUGCUGGGUGUUUUUCACAGUGAUGGAAAAAACAGAGAGCUGUGGGCCUGUGUCCCGACCUGAAUGGCCAUGCCCAAGGAGAACUAAGAAACAGGGAUUUGAUAUGACAAUGAGCAGAAAAAGAAAAGAAAAGGAAAGGAAAGGAAAAAGAAAAAAAGAAAAACAAAAAUAAAAGAAAAGGAAAGGAAAGAAAAGAAUCUCCUCUUGUCUUUUGACUUUCACAAGCAGCCGCCGGCCUGGACACAAUGGGACAGGAAAUGACUUACCCUGAAGCUCAACUAACCUAGCGUGGGGCGUGUCAGGUCAAGUGCUCUGCUCUGUACCCGUGGUACGAUUCAUCUGUUCGUGCAGUAUUAGCUGAACACUUGCCCCACGGCAGACCCGGAGUCGCGGAGCGGGAGCCCGGGGAGACCCCUGUCAUCUAGCAGGGGACCAGGACAGGGGAGCUACAUUCCAGAAAAUUUUGUGAGGCUCUCAAUGAUCUUAUGUGGUGGGGCCUCAGUGAAAAAGGAGAGCACAUCCUGAGGCAGGUGGAUGGAGCCCGAAGAGGGGAGAGGAACCGCCUCAGAUUCUGAGAAGUGCGUGGAGGCAGGCAAUGGGAUGCCAGGCUCCACAGGAGCUAUGUGUGAACUCACCAUCUGUCUCACUGCAGCUUCCUGGGAUCCAGUCCCUCGUCUUCUCUGCCCUUAGGACACAGUUCUUCCUUCUGCCCCAGGGAGGCUGUGGAAGAAGGAAGGAAGCUCCAGAGUCUGGAAGAGGUGCCCACUUGCGCUUGCCCCCCUGAACCCUAACUGCAAGACUACACUCAUUCCUGUCCAGGUUUAUCUUGUCAUCCUGAUGGCAUCCUCCAUUUUUUUCCUGAAGAGAGAGGUGGCACAUCUGUCACCAGUGGCUAAUGAAAGUUGGAAAAAUCUGCUUCUGCACGUGUCUGGAAGUGGACUGGAGUAGACAGAAUGUGUCUGGAUAUGGCUGUGCAUGUCCCUGGGAACAGAAAGCCUGAUCCUGUGUGUGGCCCCUCAGCCCACCUCCAUCCAGGUGCGGAAACUCCAGCCCGAGGGGGGGGAGGACACGACCAUCUGUCUUCCUCCCUUGCCUCUGGCCUCCCUAGGUUUCCUGUCUGGCAGAUGCAAAGUAGCCUCAUCAUCUGUGGGGGGGCGGGGGAACCUCAGCCGCUGGCUGGAUACAGCCAAGACCCCAAGCAUCUCCUCCACCCAUGUCCUCCUCCCCUACCAGGAUGUGGCCCCAGUGCUGGCUCCCGAAACUGUUCCAAUUAGAGAGGGAGCGUGGUGUUUGAUGUCAACCACCUGGGGAAGGGGGAAGCGGGGGUCCAUCUGUCCUUUCGGCCCUUUGUUAUGUGGGCUUUUCCAAGUUCAGACAAGGCCCAGCCUCCUCCCUCUGAGUUGUGGGUCCCACAUCUGGGUUGAGGAAGGGAGUGAGAGGAAGGGGUGGGACCCCUUGGAAAAGGAUCAGAGCUCUGGGGCAGGGAGGUGGGGAGUUUUUUCCAGAGCCGGAUGGGCAGUGCUGCCAGGCAGUCAGAACCCAGCCUAGGGGGAAGAGCCAGGCUCUGCUCAUCUUCCACUCAGAUGUCUCUCACUUUCUGAGAAGUAGAAAUUCAGUGGCUACAAGAUCAAGAUCAUGUUAUGCGUACUGUGUGUCUUGCCCAGUGAGAUGGACGUCUUUGUUAAAGUCUGGAGCACACUGGGUGGAUUUGUGGUGGAGGAUGAAGACUGUCUUAGGCUUCAUUUGCUGGGAUCAGAAACCCACUGGAGCUGGCUCAAGUGAAGUGGGUUAUGGAGGCAGACAGAGGAAGCCAGUCACCAAAUGGCAACUCACCGUACUUCUCCCUGAGUGCAUAGCCCCUCCACUCUGCCCCAUUCUCCUCCUGCAAGCUCUCCUCCUCAGCUUCCCCAUAACUCCCACGGAGCUAUGGCUACAGGGUGCCCUGGCCUGUCCUCUCACUAACCCCUCAGGGACCCUGUAGUGGGUUGAAUGGCGUUCCCGCAAAAUUCAUGUCCACCUAGAACCUUAGAAUGGGACCUUAUUUGGAAAUAGGGUCUCUGAAGAUGUAAUUACUUAAGAUGAGGUCAGACUGGAUUAGACUGGGACGUAAAUUCAAUGACAGGUGACCUCGUAGGAGGAGAGGACCCAGAGACACAGAGAGACGAGGGCCUUGUGAAGAAGGCCAUGCAGAGACAAGAGAGAAGGCCACGUAAAGACAGAAACAGACAUUGGGAGAUGCAGCUACAAGCCAAAGAGUGCCAAGGAUGCCAGAAACCACCAGAAGCUGCAAGAGACCAGGAAGGAAUCUUCCCUGUGGCCCUGCUGACACCUUGAUUUCAGACUUCUAGCCUCUAGGAUUGUGGAAGAAUACAUUUCUGUUGUUUGAAGCCA